ACUCAAAUGAAUUGACGGGAGCCCGCACAAGCGGUGGAGCAUGUGGUUUAAUUCGACACUAAGCGAGGAACCUUACCAAGGCUUGACAUCCUGGGAAUCCUGCCGAAAGGCGGGAGUGCCUUCGGGAACCCAGUGACAGGUGCUGCAUGGCUGUCGUCAGCUCGUGUCGUGAGAUGUCGGGUUAAGUCCUUUAACGAGCGCAACCCCUGUGUCGUGUUAGAGUUUCACACGACAGACCGCCUGCUUUAAGCAGGAGGAAGGAAGGGAUGACGUCAAGUCAGCAUGGUCCUCUGACGCCUUGGGCAACACACGUGCUACAAUGGCCGGGACAAAGGGUCGCCAAGUCGCAAGACGUAGCUAAUCCCAUCAAACCCGGUCUCAGUUCGGAUUGGGGGCUGCAACUCGCCCCCAUGAAGUUGGAAUCGCUAGUAACCGCGUAUCAGCUAUGGCGCGGUGAAUACGUUCUCGGGCUUUGUACACACCGCCCGU
rnacentral:rRNA from 1 species